CCCACCCUUACAUUUUUUUAUUCCUUUUAACCAAAAUACACAACAAAAAUAUAGAAAAAGAGGGGGCCCACAGAAUAAUAUUCAUACAACAAUAUACGCUCCUCCAUUUUUUUCAUCUUCUACAUAAAAAAAUCGACCUCAGGCCAUUUUGAGGACUUUAUUUUUUUGUUCUUUUCUUCAUCUUUACGAUAUUGUUACAAGAACCAUACACACACUCACAAUAUUUUGGUCUCCUCCAUAACACACAAAGAGAGAUUGCAAGAGGUAGGUGAGAAAAAGAGAGAGUAGUUGGAACAGGGACUCAUCUUCCUCAGGGGACCAAUUUUUGUUCCAUUUUCAUGGAAUACGCACACACGCAUAGCUUCACACUCCACCACACACGACUUCACACACACAUCAUCGAUUGAGGAAGAGAUCGAAAGGGGUAAGAAUAGAGAAAAAUAGAGAGAGAGAUAGAAAUCGAAAGAGAUAGGGGAUCGAGAGAAAAUAGUUAAACAUCGGGUGUUAACAGUCCUUUGUUGCCCUGAAUUUGGGCCAUUCUCCAUUUUUUGAUGUUGUCCGAGCUCUCUGAAACUCUGGUAAGACGGAAGCAGUGAGUCCGAUCCCGAAACCCCCUGGAAAGCAGACGGAAUAGAUCCUUUCGGUGUGCGAAAUUAGGUAGGAGUUGGGUCCGAAAUUGGCGAUUCAGGUCCGAAUUGAGGCUUUCUUUUGCACAAAAUUGGGUUUGGUUUCGUCUAUUUUGGCAAUUUUCUAUUUUGGGUCAGUAGAAAAUGAAAGAAGGAUGCAUACCGGAGCUGGGGUUCGAAUUGAGGUUCGUUGAGGUUAUCGGAGCGGCUCUCAUCUUUCUUCUUAAGUCAAUCGAAAACUUUUGAGAACUGCUUAGAAUUCUUUGAUCCAUCAAACUCGUCAACAGCUCGGCCGGUCUUAUGUUCAGACCAAAGAUGUGUUGUUGGACUGCAAUCUUGUUCUACUCAAAUCAUUGUGAGUAUACGUUCCAUUACGGUGAUGGCAGUGGGACAUCAGGAUAUUAUAUUGCAGAUUUUAUGCACUUUGAUACAAUUGUGAAAAAAUCCUUGAUGACAAUCUCAUCUGCUCGGGUCAUUUUCGAAUGUAGUACAUCACGGACUGGUGAACUCCUAAGUAAGCCUGACAGAGCAAUUGACGGCAGCCAAUGACAAACAUUUCUUCCCAUGAUACUAGUGCUCUUUUAGUAAUCAUAUUUUCUCUUGAUCAUAUUUUUAUCAAUUGACAAUGGAUGCACGUAUAUCACACAAAAUGCACACAAGAUGCACGUUUAUCGCACAAGAUGCACGUUCAUCACUCGAGAUGCACGUACAUCGCUCGAGAUGCACGUACAUCGCUCGAGAUGCACGUUUAUCGCACAAGAUGCACGUACAUCGCAUGAGAUGCACGUGUGGUACACGAGAUGCACAUGUGAUGUACACAAAAACUAAUUUUACUGAAUGUACUUGAGACCUUUUAUUAAUAAAAAUGAAGGAUAAAUUUCUGAAAUUAAUCAUCUUAUUUAUGAUUUCUCAAGUAGCGCGUAAACUACAUGAUUUUGUUUCAGGAUUUAUUUUAUAAGAGUUCGGUUGGGUUCCCCUCUAAAGACUUCUAUGUACAGAUAGACACUGGAAGUGAUGUGCUGUGGGUUAGCUGUGUUCCCUGUAACGGUUGCCCGACAUAUAGUUUAGUUUAGGUUUGGAAAUUAUUAUUUUAUUUUAUUGGUAAUUAAAGAUUUUUAUUAAUCAUCAAGUGUGUAUGAACAAAACACAGUUUGGCUACAACUCAGCCAGAUGAUCUCAUCUCAGAUAAACUAUCACUCAUACCAGUAAAAUUGGAAAGCAGUUCUACUA